UGAAGGUCUGUGGUAGACUACCACGUCGAUAGGCUGGAAGUGUAAGUGUAGUGAUGCAUUGAGCUUACCAGUACUAAUAGACCGUGCGACUUGACCCC
rnacentral:rRNA from 1 species